GUUACAGCGACGUAGUUGUUUCGUGAUAACUCACUGAAGACUCAAGAUGUGUGCACCUUUUUCUAGAGACCAUCAAGCUUCAGAUGAUCAUGUGACAACUGUUCCAGCCAGUUCCAGGUGAAGACACCACCCCUGGCCUUCAAAGAGCUACCCUGCCUCCACUAGACAGAGCAGGAAACUGAGGCACCAUAAGCACCAGAAUACCGCUGAGACUUCGAACCAGAUGGAGAGGAUUCCUUCAUUCGAUCAAUCACAUUUUCUGAAAGCCGGAUGCCCUUCACCACGUGUGUGCCGCCACCCAAUAGAAGAUUCGAUGGACAUGGACAUGAGCCCCCUGAGGCCCCAGAACUAUCUUUUCGGUUGUGAACUAAAGGCUGACAAAGAUGAUCACUUUAAGGUGGAUAAUGAUGAAAAUGAGCACCAGUUAUCUUUAAGAACGGUCAGUUUAGGGGCUGGUACAAAGGAUGAAUUGCACAUUGUUGAAGCAGAGGCAAUGAAUUACAAAGGCAGUCCAAUUAAAGUAACACUGGCAACUUUGAAAAUGUCUGCACAGCCAACAGUUUCCCUUGGGGGCUUUGAAAUAACACCACCAGUGGUCUUAAGAUUUAAGUGUGGUUCAGGGCCAGUGCAUAUUAGUGGACAGCACUUAGUAGCUGUGGAGGAAGAUGCAGAGUCAGAAGAUGAAGAGGAGGAGGAUGUGAAACUCUUAAGUAUAUCUGGAAAGCGGUCUGCCCCUGGAGGUGGUAGCAAGGUUCCACAGAAAAAAGUAAAACUUGCUG
rnacentral:lncRNA from 1 species